rnacentral:rRNA from 1 species
ACCAGACUCCUACGGGAGGCAGCAGUGGGGAAUAUUGCACAAUGGGGGAAACCCUGAUGCAGCGACGCCGCGUGAGUGAAGAAGUAUUUCGGUAUGUAAAGCCCUAUCGGCAGGGAAGAAGCAAGACGGUACCUGACUAAGAAGCCCCGGCUAACUACGUGCCAGCAGCCGCGGUAAUACGUAGGGGGCGAGCGUUAUCCGGAUUCACUGGGUGUAAAGGGGGCGCAGACGGCAGCGCAAGCCAGGAGUGAAAGCCCGGGGCCCAACCCCGGGACUGCUCUUGGAACUGCGCGGCUGGAGUGCAGGAGGGGCAGGCGGAAUUCCUGGUGUAGCGGUGAAAUGCGUAGAUAUCAGGAGGAACACCGGUGGCGAAGGCGGCCUGCUGGACUGCGACUGACGUUGAGGCCCGAAAGCGUGGGGAGCAAACAGGAUUAGAUACCCGGGUAUA